UACGUAGGUGGCUUGGUAAGUCGAAUGUGAAAGCCCUGGGCUUAACCUGGGAACUGCAUCCGAAACUGCCUGGCUGGAGUAAGGGAGAGGGAAGUGGAAUUUCCGGUGUAGCGGUGAAAUGCGUAGAUAUCGGAAGGAACACCAGUGGCGAAGGCGACUUCCUGGCCCAUUACUGACACUGAGGUACGAAAGCGUGGGGAGCAAACA
rnacentral:rRNA from 1 species